rnacentral:rRNA from 1 species
UUUUGAAACGCGUCAAAGCGUAACUUUAACACCCAAAAUACCAUUAAUUUUUAUGAACCCCUAAUUUAUAAUGAAUGACUCCAUAUUUAUAUGGAAGACACCAUGCUAGGAUUAGUAACAAGAAUUUAUAAUUCUCCAAAAUGCAAAUAUAAACCAACAUGGAUAGACCAUUGGUAGUUACCGAACCUAAAUUUAAUGCAAUAACAUCCACAAGAAAACUCUGCAGCACUCACUCGUUAACCUAACACCAGCGCAUUACAGGAAAGAUUCAAAAAAAGAGAAGGAAUUCGGCAAAUGACGGCCCCGCCUGUUUACCAAAAACAUCGCCUCUUGACUUAUAAUAAGAGGUCCAGCCUGCCCAGUGAAUUUUAAACGGCCGCGGUAUCCUAACCGCGCGAAGGUAGCAUAAUCACUUGUUCUUUAAAUGGGGACUCGUAUCAACGGCAUCACGAGGGUUUUACUGUCUCCUCUUUUUGAUCAGUGAAAUUGAUCUUCCCGUGAAGAAGCGGGAAUAUUUUUAUAAGACGAGAAGACCCCAUGGAGCUUUAAACCAAAUAACAACUUAACCACUUAUCCCAUAAUAAAUUUAACCCCUGUUAUAAGGUUUUUGGUUGGGGUGACCGCGGAGUAAAGCACAUCCUCCACGACGGAAAGAAUAAAAUCUUUAUUUAAGAACCACACUUCUAGAAAUUAGUAUACUAACGUUUACUGACCCGACAAUCGAUCAACGGACCAAGUUACCCUGGGGAUAACAGCGCAAUCUACUUCGAGAGCUCAUAUCGACAAGUAGGCUUACGACCUCGAUGUUGGAUCAGGGUAUCCCGGUGGUGCAGCCGCUACCGAAGGUUCGUUUGUUCAACGAUUAAAACCCUACGUGAUCU